rnacentral:misc_RNA from 1 species
GAUGAAGAACGCAGCGAAAUGCGAUAAGUAAUGUGAAUUGCAGAAUUCAGUGAAUCAUCGAAUCUUUGAACGCACAUUGCGCCCGCCAGCACUCUGGCGGGCAUGCCUGUUCGGGCGUCAUUUCAACCAUCAAGCCCCCAGGGGCUUGUGCUGGGGCCCUGCGGCUGCCCGCAGGCCCUGAAAACCAGUGGCGGGCUCGCUAGUCACACCGAGCGCAGUAGCACAUCUCGCUCAGGGCGUGCGGCGGGCUCCUGCCGUGAAACCCCCCACUGUAACCCCAAAGGUUGACCUCGGAUCAGGUAGGAAUACCCGCUGAACUUAAGCAUAUCAAUAAGCGGAGGA